rnacentral:rRNA from 1 species
UGGGGAAUCUUGCGCAAUGGACGAAAGUCUGACGCAGCGAUGCCGCGUGCGGGAUGAAGGCCCUCGGGUUGUAAACCGCUUUCAGCAGGGACGAAAUUGACGGUACCUGCAGAAGAAGCCCCGGCCAACUACGUGCCAGCAGCCGCGGUAAUACGUAGGGGGCGAGCGUUGUCCGGAUUUAUUGGGCGUAAAGAGCUCGUAGGCGGUUCGAUAAGUCGGAUGUGAAAUCUCCACGCUCAACGUGGAGGGGCCAUUCGAUACUGUCGUGACUCGAGUCCGGUAGGGGAGUGUGGAAUUCCCGGUGUAGCGGUGAAAUGCGCAGAGAUCGGGAGGAACACCCGUAGCGAAGGCGGCACUCUGGGCCGGUACUGACGCUGAGGAGCGAAAGCGUGGGGAGCAAACAGG